GACGAACGCUGGCGGCGUGCCUAAUACAUGCAAGUUGAGCGCUGAAGGUUGGUACUUGUACCAACUGGAUGAGCAGCGAACGGGUGAGUAACGCGUGGGGAAUCUGCCUUUGAGCGGGGGACAACAUUUGGAAACGAAUGCUAAUACCGCAUAAAAACUUUAAACACAAGUUUUAAGUUUGAAAGAUGCAAUUGCAUCACUCAAAGAUGAUCCCGCGUUGUAUUAGCUAGUUGGUGAGGUAAAGGCUCACCAAGGCGAUGAUACAUAGCCGACCUGAGAGGGGGAACAGCGACACUGGAACUAGGACAAGGUCCAGACUACGACGGGAGGCCGCGGGGGGGAAUAGUGGACAAGGGUGGAAAGCCUAAUACAGUAAUAGCGGGUGGGUGAAGAGGGGCCACGGGUGGUAAAACCCUUUGGUUGGGAAAGAAAAGAAGCAGGCUAAGACCACGCUGCUCUGACGGGAAACAAAGAAUAAGCACCGGCUAACUUCGUG
rnacentral:rRNA from 1 species